GUGACCCAAUGCAGUAAAAUGGUUUCCGGAUGAUAUCUCAAGAACGCUUAUGCCUAGGAUCAUGAAACUUCAUAGAUACAUUGAUCAUGACUCGCAGAUGACCCCUAUUGAUUUUCAGGUCACUAGGUCAAAGGUCAAGGUCACGACCCGAAAUAAUAAAAUGGUUUCCGGAUGAUAACUCAAGAAUGCUUUGGCCUAGGAUCAUGAAACUUCAUAGGUACAUUGAUCAUGACUCGCAGAUGACCCCUAUUGAUUUUCAGGUCACUAGGUCAAAGGUCAAGGUCACGAUGACCUGAAAUAGUAAAAUGGUUUCCAGAUGAUAACUCAAGAACGCUUAUGCCUAGGAUCAUGAAACUUCAUAGGUACAUUUAUCAUGACUCGCAGAUGACCCCUAUUGAUUUUCAGGUCACUAGGUCAAAGGUCAAGGUCACGAUGACCGAAAUAGUAAAAUGGUAUCCGGAUGAUAACUCAAGAACGUUUAUGCCUAGGAUCAUGAAACUUGAUAGAUACAUUGAUCAUGACUCGCAGAUGACCUCUAUUGAUUUUCAGGUCACUAGGUCAAAGUUCAAGGUCACAGUGACCCAAUGCAGUAAAAUGGUUUCCGGAUGAUAACUCAAGAACGUUUAUGCCUAGGAUCAUGAAACUUCAUAGAUACAUUGAUCAUGACUCGCAGAUGACCCCUAUUGAUUUUCAGGUCACUAGGUCAAAGGUCAAGGUCACGGUGACCUGAAAUAGUAAAAUGGUUUCUGGAUGAUAACUCAAGAACGCUUAUGCCUAGGAUCAUGAAACUUCAUAGGUACAAUGAUCAUGACUCGCAGAUGACCCCUAUUGAUUUUCAGGUCACUAGGUCAAAGGUCAAGGUCACGGUGA